UACGACUGUAUCACAUUGAAACACCGUAUCUCGUAAGAUCACCGAAGUUAAGCAACGUCGAGCCAGGUCAGGACCUAGAGGGGUGACCGCUUGAGAAUACGAGCUGCUGUAAG